rnacentral:rRNA from 1 species
CCUACGGGUGGCAGCAGUGAGGAAUAUUGGUCAAUGGACGAGAGUCUGAACCAGCCAAGUAGCGUGAAUGAUGACUGCACUAUGGGUUGUAAACUUCUUUUAUAUGGGAAUAAAAUGUUCCACGUGUGGGAUUUUGUAUGUACCAUAUGAAUAAGGAUCGGCUAACUCAGUGCCAGCAGCCGCGGUAAUACGGAGGAUCCGAGCGUUAGCCGGAUUUAUUGGGUUUAAAGGGAGCGUAGGUGGAUUGUUAAGUCUGUUGUGAAAGUUGGCGGCUCAACCGUAAAAUUGCAGUUGAAACUGGCAGGCUUGAGUACAGUAGAGGUAGGCGGAAUUCGUGGUGUAGCGGUGAAAUGCUUAGAUAUCACGAAGAACUCCAGUGGCGAAGGCAGUUCACUGGACUGCAACUGACACUGAGGCUCGAAAGUGUGGGUAUCAAACAGGAUUAGAUACCCUAGUAGUC